rnacentral:lncRNA from 1 species
GUUGCUGCCCCGAGGAGGUGUAGAUCGAGCCUCCUGCCGCACACACGUUCGCACGCGGCGGCCGGCGCGCUGGACCGAGAGGUUGGAGCAAUCCAUCCUCCGCGCGCACGAGCUCAGUCCCUACUGCCCCGACAGGUGUGGAACCCGCCGUCCCCGCUAUGGUCCGAGGAAGUGUACAGCACUGCUCCCUACUACACGUCCUGGGCCCGCGGUCCCCGAUGCCCCCCGGAGCUCUGUGCACCUCCACUGAAACGCAAGGAGCAGACAGAACCUACACCAUCCGUGAGUGUCAGUACGGGGUCUAUCACAUAGUGGAAUUAAUGAGGAAACAGACUCAAAAAGGAUUUUGGCUUGCUCAAGGUCACACAGCUUGUAUGAGGCAGUGCUGCAAUUUAAAGCCAG